AGAAACCAACAAUUAAAAUCCUAGAAAAUCUUCGUCAUCUGAGGUUUCUUGGAAUAGAUCCAGGAGUUUCGCUUUUUCCUGUAAUUCAAUUUCCGCAGCCGUUGGAUAACACAUUUUCAAAUUGCAAACGUGAGCUGUGCGUACAUCUUCUCCUGUGUCUUCAAGGGCUAUUUGGUAGUUCACAGGACCCAGCUGCUGGAGAAUACGGUGAUGGAGAUGAUGAACUACAUCAUAGGAGGCAGCGUCUGGAGUUAGAUUAGGCCCACAGAGUAUUUUGUCCAUUGGACUUUGGAGUUUUCUACCAAGCUGGAGUUCUGCUGGGGUUAGUCCAGUGGUCUCUUGAACAGCUGAAUUAAGGGCGAAUCUGAAUUCUGAUGAAACAAACUGAGCGCCUCUAUCUGAGAGAAUGAAAUCCGGUACGCCCCACCGUGUUAG